CCAUUUUGCAAAUGACUGUUAGGUGGUGCAUCUCCUUCUCUUCUAGUGGUUAUGAAUGGGAGGCGGUGGUCAUGUGACAUUGAACACAAAGGAGAUGGUUCACAGAAGAACCACUAGGCUGAGCUAUACUGAAAGUGUGUAAGAACCCCAACUAUAGCUAAAGAGCCGAUCCACUGCUGAUUGCUACAGUUGUUAUAAGACAGAGAAAAACUUUUGCUAAGAAAGCAUCUGGAAGUUUAAUAGCUUGUGACUUUUUAAACUCCAAAGCAAACCUUGAAAAUGAAGAAGCAACUCUCAUUAUAAACACUUGCCACAUUCCUCAAUGUUAUCUGAAGUUUCUGUUCUCUUGAAUAACUUACCAAAACCAAAUCAACCCCAUGAAAUUAAAGUUAUCUGUCUGGUAUUUUCUUGCCAGAUGAUUCUUUUUAAUCUGAUUCUGAACAAAGCGGCGAGGCGUCCCCAGAUCUAUAGUUUUCUUGCAAUAACAACAAUCGAAGACACCAUUUGUCUUUUUGUAACAGAACUCUUCCUUAUUUGGUAUCAUGGAUUUUUUCCUUUCUAACUUACAGCAGCAAGUCAAGCCAAAGAUGGUAUGGUGUGAUAGUACCAGUAGCAUGGGGCAGGGAGCCCCUGGUAAGAACACUGAUCCAGCACGAUGCAUAUCAUUUUAAUUGUGCUUCCUAAAAAUCCUAAUUAUAUUCUAGACAUGAAAUACAACUUUGUACAAAUUUGUGACCACACAGGACUUGAUAAUUGUCACUGUCCUGUUCACCAUGCCACUUGGAACUUCACAGUGGGAUAGAACUAUUAUCCUUUUAUUUCAGGUGAGCUGAAAGAAAAUCUAAUCUGAGACCUCUGACAUGCAGUUAAGCAGUCUAAUUCUAUCCAGGACAGGGCAGCACUGUCAGUAUUUUUAGUUUGGCAGUAUGUAUUCUUCAAGCUAUCAUAGUUAUCUAUGGAUUCUCCUGUGACACAGGUGCAACUGACAGAGAGCACGAAGGGUUCCUGGGAUUUUAUAGGGAUCUCCUGGAUUGGAUAUCUGCAUAGUAGUUCACCAAAGGUUGCAUGUGAGGUCUCUACUGAUCAUCAUAAUCACUGCAAAAUGCAUGUAUGGAUAUUAUUUAAGGAGCUAUGUAUCUAAACUGAAAGUUAUGUUCUUAAGAUCUUGGAGUUAAGGCAGGUCACCAGGAGGUGGCAUUCCUCAGACAUUCUUUUCUGGCAGGAGGUAAUUGUGUCACUGAGGCUCCCUGGCAAAGGUUCUGCUGUUCUUUGCAAACAACUCUCACCUCAGACCUGACAAACACAUGUCUUGCAGGAUAUUUAUCCAUAAAGAGUAAUGUGUAAGGUAUCUACAGAAAACUCAUAACUUGUCAAGAUUCAUAAUCAUUGUGAGAUACAUGUAUGGGUAACAUUUAAAGAAUAAUAUAUUUAUAUUGAAAGUAUGCUUUAAGGAUCUGGAGUAAAAUUAGGCAGCAACAGAUGAUGUCUCGGUUCUGACCCACUCAAGCAGUAGGAAGUAUACACCCACACCCACACACACCCUUCCCCUCUCUCCUUGGUUGGCCGGUGAUGUAAUGCCAUGCUGAAUUGUCUCGCCUUGCUCCUUCUCAAGACUUCCAAUGAAAAAUCAUCAGACACAACUGCAAACAAUUGAAACAACUUGGAGAUAAAAAAAAGGGGGACAUUACAUCAGACAGAGAACCAUCCUGCAAAUGAAUAAGGACAAUAGACUGUUUCAGUAUUACACAGGAAGUGGGAAAGGUACUCUUUGAUCCAUUUACUGAGGAGACAUCUUGAGGAGAGAGGUAUUCUCAUGAAAAAAAUGGAUCCUGGUUCCUGUGAAGCCAGCCAGCUCUACAACCGACUGAACUUUGGGGAGAAAUCAUAUUUUAUUAUAGGAAAAGUAAUGAUUAAUGCACCUAUUGUUAACCUGCAACUCAAAGACAGGGCUGUCAUAGCUCAGAGGACAGUGCAUGAGUAGCUGGUAGGAUGGUGGUAUUAGGGAGAUGACACCCAGCUAGGCACAGGCAAGACUCCUUCAUGAAGAAGAAGGGGUUAACAAGGUGACUCACAAUCCCAGGUGCCCUCAGAACUGUCACAGUAACAUCUCCCUGUCUGGUCAUUUGUGUAUUGUUAUAUGCCUCCUUGCAUACUGAGCCACAGGAAAAAGAAGAGAUUGCAAAAUCUACAAUAGAGGAAAUCUACAGGAAUAAACAAACGGGGGGCGGGGGGAGUGUCCUGUUUAUGAAUAAAGACAAAUAUUUUUUCUAGUAUAGCUUGGAGAUCAAUGCAACACACUGGGUCCUUCAUCUCGGAGGCAACUGACAGCCUGCUUGUUUCAAUAAAGGACAAUCACAACCAACCUAUGUACAAAACACUGCAGGGAUUUUGG